rnacentral:rRNA from 1 species
AUGCUUCUCGGGGCGCUCUCGGAGGAGGUGCUGCUGCCGGUGUCGACGAAGCCCACCGCGAAGGAGGUAUGGGACUCCCUCAAGGUGCGCUUCGUCGGCGCCGAUCGGGUGCGGGCGGCCCGGCUCGCGUCGCCCUGCGGCGAGUUAGAGCAGCUGCGGAUGGCGGACGGCGACGACCUGGACAGCUAUGCCGGGAAGCUCGGGGCCAUGACGACACACUAUGCAGGGCUGGGCGCGGAACUCAACGACGCGGCGCUGGUGAAGAAGAUGUUGGACACGGUGCCGGAUCGUCUGUACCCCGACAUCGCCGGAAUUGAACAAUUCUGCGACGUGGAGACCAUGGCGUUCGAGGAGGCUUUGGGGAGGCUCAAGGCAUUUGAAGAGUGGACCCGGCGUCGCAGGCAAGACGACGGCGAGCGCGAGGGAGAUCAGCUACUCCUGACCAUGGCGCAGUGA